AACGAACGCUGGCGGCGUGCCUAACACAUGCAAGUCGAACGGAGAUGAGGAGCUUGCUCUUCAUUUUAGUGGCGCACGGGUGAGUAACGCGUAGAUAAUCUGCCUGAUGAUCUGGGAUAACACUUCGAAAGGGGUGCUAAUACCGGAUAAGCCCACGACGGCCUUGGUCGACGCGGGAAAAGGGGGGACCAUUUGGCCUUCUGUCAUCAGAUGAGUCUGCGUACCAUUAGCUAGUUGGUAGGGUAAUGGCCUACCAAGGCUACGAUGGUUAGCUGGUCUGAGAGGAUGAUCAGCCACACUGGAACUGAGACACGGUCCAGACUCCUACGGGUGGCUG
rnacentral:rRNA from 1 species